rnacentral:tRNA from 3 species
CAUCGGUUAGUUUAUAAAAACAGUUAUUUUGGGUAUAACAAAUAUAGAUCUUUUUCUAUACCUUUGA